rnacentral:misc_RNA from 1 species
GUGAAAUCAAGACAGGAGACAGACAAAGGAACAAACAAACUCUGUAUUGGAGAGGGUAAACAGCCAGAGAUCACUGCCUCUUCUCUGUCUGCAAAUUCUGAAUCCUAAUUCCUGUCCUUUUGGAUUUUAAAGUUGAAAACUUGGAAGGUUUUCAGUGGGUUUUAUUCACAGUAGAGAGAGAGAGAGAGAUGGAGGGUGGGAAAGGAGUGGAAGCAGGUCCAUCCACAGCAGGAGUUGUUAGUGAGACGCAAGAAAGGCAAAAGAAAAUGACAGAGAAAGCACCGGCUGAAACUGUUAUUGAUGAUGGCGAGGAAGAGGAGGAGGAUAAUGGGGUUCCUGUAGCUGGUUUUGUGCCUGGGCCUUUGCUUUCUCUCAAGGAACAGAUUGAAAAAGAUCAGGUUUUUUUUAUUUUUUUUUCUUUCUUUGAACACCCAUUAUCUUUAAAAUUUUUAGUCUUUCUUGAUGAAGUCCUGAACUUUCACUUACCCUCUGUUUGGUUGCUCAGAAAAUGUGCAGGGGUAAUAUUUUACUAGAAAUUGGUCAAAUUGAGUUUUUCGGUUUGUGAAGCCUGGCAACAAAAGCUAAAAUCAACAAUUUUCUUUGGCUAUUCCCCCUCCACUCCCAUCCAUUUUCCUUAUUUUAACAGAAUGUAAUUGCGUAUUGUGUGGACUCCCAAAUUUUCUCUGAUGUCAUUUGUAUUUUAGAUUUUUUAUCCCCUUUAUAUUUAAAGUCUUUUAUUGUGAUUUGCUAACUUCUGUGCCUGAAUAAUUUAAUGAGUUGCUUGAUAAUUGCAGGAUGAUGACAGCUUAAGGAGGUGGAAAGAGAAGCUACUUGGUUGUGUUGAGGGUGACUUAAAUGGUUUGUGUAAGGGAGUCUUUUAUUCACCAUCUUUUAGUCUACAUCUGCGUUUGUCAUGCUUCAAAUCAUCACAAGUUUAUGUCUUUGUUUUGUUAGGCCAAAUGGAACCUGAAGUGAAGUUUCACUCUAUAGGAAUUAUAUCCAGUGACUUCGGGGAAAUAAAUACUCCCCUACCUGUUGAUGGCAAUAGGAGCAGCCAAGUCCAUUUUACUCUCAAAGAAGGAUCUCGAUACCAACUUAAGCUAACAUUUAAUGUUCUACACAAUAUUGUUUCUGGCCUAAAUUACUCAAAUAUUGUGUGGAAGGGGGGACUCCAAGGUGCAGAAUCAUUUUCUCAUUUGCAUUUAUUUAUUUUUUACUUUAUGGUUGUAAAAGAAUAGAGUUGUAGACUUAUCUAAUCCACCUCUGAGGAGAAUUUUUUAGUCUGAACUUGCCAUACUUCUCGGCCUCAAUGUGGUACUGUUUUAGCCGAAUGUGGUACUGUUUAAUCAUAGAUACCGGAUAGAUACAGAAUAUGAGUUUAUUUUAUGUUGCCCUGCGGAGAAAAACUCACAUCUAUAUUGAGAGAGAACAAUGUUGUGAGCUUGCGAUGCUAGAGCUACUGGCUGCUUGGCAAAGAUUCAUCUUUGAUCUUUCCUGGCCAUUUAUUUGAUUUGGUUGUUGUUGUGUUUAGUAGUAUAAUAUUUAAGGUUGUUUUCCAUUGAUUGUCAGUUGACCAAAGCAAAGGAAUGUUGGGCACUUUUGCUCCUCAGCGGGAACCAUAUGUGCAUACUUUGGAGGAGGAGACUACUCCAUCUGGUGCGUUGGCAAGGGGAAUUUACUCAGCAAAGCUUAAGUUCGAAGAUGAUGACAGAAGAUGUCAUAUGGAUCUAAAAUAUUCCUUUGAGAUAAAAAAGAGGAGCUAGCCAAUUCUACACCAGUGUUUGUUUGUGUUUUCAACUUUUCACGUAUGUCUUUAUGAACCACAUAGAUGUUUUUGAAUCUAUUAAAUUGAGAUUGAAUGUAGGUGUGAGGGAAAUAUAGUCUAUUUUCCAAUCGGCAACUUCGAACCAAAAUUGUCAUGCCUCACGUUUUGCCAUCUUUAUCCAUUACUAUACAUUAGAAACCUGAGUUCUUGUGAUAUUCAAGAGUAAAUGUUCAGGCAUUUAUGUGUUCAUGUGCAUGUGUUUUGAAGAUAAGCAAAGGGAUAUGUUGAAAAGAUUUGCAAAUAGGAAAAGUUUUAAUUGGUCUGGCUAAUAAUGCUGGCAAUGAGUGGACUCAAUGUGUUAGAAAUCCUCGUUGAUAUAAAUAAUUAUAGAAUGGACUCAAUGGGUGCUAAAUUCCUAGCAAAGAUGAGCUAGCUAGUAGAAUUUCGGUUUUUAACAGAGAAAAUCCUAGACCUAGAGGAUAUUUGGGAUUUCAAAUCCUAGAAGAAUCACCAGCAGCAAAGGCCAUUGCUUUGCUUUCUGUUCUUAGUGAUGUUUCUUUUCUUACCAUCAUUUGCAGACUACUGGUCAUUUAAACAAAAAGAAAUGAUAAAUUAUAUCAAUACACCAUUUUCUCUCAUGAGAAAUCCACUGUGAAUAAAGAUGAAAGAUUGGACACUCAAGCCCUAGGCAGCAAACGACGUUUCUCAAACAAGCUUUGUUAGUUUUCUUGAGAAGCUGUGUUAUGGUGGUCUCAGCAUUUGUGGCUUUGUGCAAUAAAG